CAGGGAGACAACAAAAUGUUAAAUAUUAAUUUUGUCACCUUAGGUCGAUCGGUAUCUCACAUUUUUAAUUUAUUAAGAAUUUUAUUUCCUAAGUUUUUUCUAGGUCACACCCAUUAUUUUUCCUGGGCCAUUAGCUCAGGUGGUUAGAGCGCACCCCUGAUAAGGGUGAGGUCCCUGGUUCAAGUCCAGGAUGGCCCAUAUCUCUAUGUUGGGGGUAUAGCUCAGUUGGUAGAGCGCCUGCUUUGCAAGCAGGAUGUCAGCGGUUCGAGUCCGCUUACCUCCACUGAUUACCACCUCUUCCAUAUCAUUUAGAAAGGAAAUGUAUUGAGUUGUGAUCAUAUUCUGAACGAAGCUAGCUUCCUAAUGAAAUCAUUAAGAUGCUGGACUCAUUGAAUUAAUUUCAUUGUUUUCAGAGAACCUUGACAACUGCAUAGAUUAUUUUUUAAAGACAAUAAGCAUCUUUAAUGAUGCAGAUUUAUUAUUUGUGCUAAUGCAUUAAUAACAAUUCUAUUAAGCUGAUGCUUCAAUUUUGAAGUUAUU
rnacentral:tRNA from 1 species